rnacentral:rRNA from 1 species
CCUACGGGAGGCAGCAGUGGGGAAUAUUGGGCAAUGGAGGAAACUCUGACCCAGCGACGCCGCGUGAGGGAUGAAGGCCUUCGGGUUGUAAACCUCUUUCAGUAGGGAAGAAGCGAAAGUGACGGUACCUACAGAAGAAGCACCGGCUAACUAUGUGCCAGCAGCCGCGGUAAUACAUAGGGUGCAAGCGUUGUCCGGAAUUAUUGGGCGUAAAGAGCUCGUAGGUGGUUCGAUACGUCGGAUGUGAAAAUCAGGGGCUCAACCCCUGACCUGCAUCCGAUACGGUCGAGCUAGAGUUUGGUAGGGGAGACUGGAAUUCCUGGUGUAGCGGUGGAAUGCGCAGAUAUCAGGAGGAACACCGAUGGCGAAGGCAGGUCUCUGGGCCAAUACUGACACUGAGGAGCGAAAGCGUGGGGAGCGAACAGGAUUAGAUACCCUGGUAGUCCACGCCGUAAACGGUGGCGCUAGUUGUGCGAACCUUCCACGGUUUGUGCGACGCAGCUACGCAUAGCGCCCGCCGUCGGGAGGUACGANCGCGAGAUAAACUACAAGAAGUAGACGCGUGAGACGUGCCGACGCGACGACGAGGGAGUAGG